rnacentral:rRNA from 1 species
UACGGAGGGUGCAAGCGUUAAUCGGAAUUACUGGGCGUAAAGCGCACGCAGGUGGCUGAGUCAGUCGAUUGUGAAAGCCCUGGGCUUAACCUGGGAAUUGCAGUCGAUACUACUCGGCUCGAGUAUGGGAGAGGACAGUGGAAUUCCCGGUGUAGCGGUGAAAUGCGUAGAUAUCAGGAGGAACACCGGUGGCGAAGGCGGGUCUCUGGGCCGAUAUUGACGCUGAGGAGCGAAAGCGUGGGGAGCGAACAGG